GCCAGACUCCUACGGGAGGCAGCAGUGAGGAAUAUUGGUCAAUGGGCGGGAGCCUGAACCAGCCAAGUCGCGUGGGGGAAGACGGUCCUACGGAUUGUAAACCUCUUUUGCCGGGGAGCAACGGGGUCCUUGCGGGGGCCCGAUGAGAGUACCCGGAGAAAAAGCAUCGGCUAACUCCGUGCCAGCAGCCGCGGUAAUACGGAGGAUGCGAGCGUUAUCCGGAAUUACUGGGUGUAAAGGGAGUGUAGGCGGGAUGGUAAGCUAGGUGUGAAAUGCGGAGGCUCAACCUCCGAGCUGCACUUAAAACUGCUGUUCUUGAGUGAAGUAGAGGUUGGCGGAAUUCCCAGUGUAGCGGUGAAAUGCGUAGAUAUUGGGAGGAACAUCAGUGGCGAAGGCGGCCAACUGGGCUUUUACUGACGCUGAGGCUCGAAAGCGUGGGGAGCAAACAGGAUUAGAUACCCGAGUA
rnacentral:rRNA from 1 species